rfam:Schistosoma rodhaini strain Burundi genome assembly, scaffold: SROB_scaffold0001464
GUACUGCUUAGGAGUCCCACAAUAGGACGAAACGGCCGUCCAGUGC